rnacentral:rRNA from 1 species
AACGAACGCUGGCGGCGCGCCUAAUACAUGCAAGUCGAGCGAGAAAGUGUAGCAAUACACUUGUAAAGCGGCGAACGGGUGAGGAAUACAUGGGUAAUCUACCAUCGAGUGGGGAAUAACCAACCGAAAGGUUGGCUAAUACCGCGUACGCCUCCGAGUCUUCGGGUUCGGAGGGAAAGCUGCACUGUGAGUGUAGCGCUCUUUGAUGAGCUCAUGUCCUAUCAGCUUGUUGGUAGGGUAACGGCCUACCAAGGCUUUGACGGGUAGCUGGUCUGAGAGGACGAUCAGCCACACUGGCACUGCGACACGGGCCAGACUCCUACGGGAGGCAGCAGUAAGGAAUAUUGCGCAAUGGGCGAAAGCCUGACGCAGCGACGCCGCGUGGGGGAUGAAGGUCUUCGGAUUGUAAACCCCUUUCGGAGGGAAGAUGGAGCGAGCAAUCGUUCGGACGGUACCUCCAGAAGCAGCCACGGCCAACUUCGUGCCAGC